rnacentral:misc_RNA from 1 species
AACGCACAUUGCACCCGGUGGUAAUCCGCCGGGUAUGCCUGUCUGAGCGUCAUUUUCUACCCUCAAGCCCCGCUUGGUGUUGGUGGUCUGCCGCGCAACGCAGCCGCUGAAAUUCAACGGCGACAGCUUCUGUUCUCCUGUGUAGUACAUACUCUCGCAGCGGGCAACGGCAAGCCGGUCAGCCUUGUUACCUUCUCAUCAGUAGUUGACCUCAGAUCAGGUAGGAAUACCCGCUGAACUUAA